rnacentral:rRNA from 1 species
GACGAACGCUGGCGGCGUGCUUAACACAUGCAAGUCGAACGGAAAGGCCCUGCUUUUGUGGGGUGCUCGAGUGGCGAACGGGUGAGUAACACGUGAGUAACCUGCCCUUGACGUUGGGAUAACUUCAGGAAACUGGGGCUAAUACCGGAUAGGAGCUCCUGCUGCAUGGGGGGGGUUGGAAAGUUUCGGCGGUUGGGGAUGGACUCGCGGCUUAUCAGCUUGUUGGUGGGGUAGUGGCUUACCAAGGCUUUGACGGGUAGCCGGCCUGAGAGGGUGACCGGCCACAUUGGGCCUGCGAUACGGCCCAGACUCCUACGGGAGGCAGCAGUGGGGAAUCUUGCACAAUGGGCGGAAGCCUGAUGCAGCAACGCCGCGUGCGGGAUGACGGCCUUCGGGUUGUAAACCGCUUUCGCCUGUGACGAAGCGUGAGUGACGGUAAUGGGUAAAGAAGCACCGGCUAACUACGUG